CCAGAGAUGGAUUGGUGCCGUUCGGGAACUCUGACACAGGUGCUGCAUGGCUGUCGUCAGCUCGUGUCGUGAGAUGGUUGGGUUAACGUCCCGUAACGAGCGCCAACCCUUGUCCUUAGUUACCAGCACGUUAUGGUGGGCACUCUAAGGAGACUGCCGGUGACAAACCGGAGGAAGGUGGGGAUGACGUCAAGUCAUCAUCGGCCCUUACGGCCUGGGCUACACACGUGCUACAAUGGUCGGUACAAAGGGUUGCCAAGCCGCGAGGUGGAGCUAAUCCCAUAAAACCGAUCGUAGUCCGGAUCGCAGUCUGCAACUCGACUGCGUGAAGUCGGAAUCGCUAGUAAUCGUGAAUCAGAAUGUCACGGUGAAUACGUUCCCGGGCCUU
rnacentral:rRNA from 1 species